rnacentral:rRNA from 1 species
CGAAGGACCCGAGCGUUAUCCGGAUUUAUUGGGGUUUAAAGGGUGCGUAGGCGGAUUAGUAAGUCAGUGGUGAAAGCCCAUCGCUUAACGGUGGAACUGCCAUUGAUACUGCUAGUCUUGAGUAUGGUUGAGGUGGGCGGAAUGUGUCAUGUAGCGGUGAAAUGCUUAGAUAUGACCCAGAACACCAAUUGCGAAGGCAGCUCGCUAAGCCAUAACUGACGCUGAUGCACGAAAGCGUGGGAGACAAACAGGAUU